UCCAAACCCCUUUGAUGCCCCACAAACAAUGUUUAAACACCUUGCACCUAGGGUUUAAUUAAGUUCCUCUAAUUGUGUUCCAAUCGCGAGCCUGGACGGAUGGGCUGGAAUUCCUGAUGUGCAUUUCUGUCAGUCUUAAUUGGAUAAUUGAUUGCCAAUUUGAACCUGGCCACACACUGCAUACACAAUAAAGAGCUUUGGCCAUGCUCCUUAAGGAUUCAUUUUCCAACCGAAUAAAGAUGCUGCUUCGAUAGGCAGCAGUUCAGUCAUCCACAGUAUAAUGCCAGUCUUACAGAAAAGAGUUAUUUUUCUUGGCUGGUUAUGCUGAAUGGCCAACUUGUUUUGACAAGAGACCCGGUUUCCCGCCACUCAUCAGUUUUCAUGGACACAAAUUAAUCAUCACAGCUGUUUGUCAUUUGGUUCAUCACUAUGUAAAACUGCUUUUGCUGAAAAUGGAGAGUGGAACAAGGAUAUAACAUUAAAGACUCUCUCUCAUUGCCGACUGGACUGGAGUGUCCCCAGUGUCCUCUAUUACCCAGCGCCCCACUGAACAUGCUCUGCAGUCUGCUGACCUCCUGCCCUGCCUGUCAUCCUGAUGGCUACUGUUAUCCCUGGCUACUUAUUUUGCCAAAACUGCCUUUUGUUCAUCCUUGUAUUGAAAGAAUUAAGCUAAGCCAAUUACAGGCAUAAACAGACCGGUCAUUUCUAGAAAGGGGAGUUUGUUUGUGUGUGUGUGUGGUGGGGAGGUGGGGGUGGGGUGCUUUGAUCUUUCUUUGAUCUGUCUUACAAAUUGAUAC